rnacentral:rRNA from 1 species
GAUGAACGCUAGCGGCAGGCUUAAUACAUGCAAGUCGAGGGGCAACAGGGGUAGCAAUACCUGCUGGCGACCGGCAAACGGGUGCGGAACACGUACAGAACCUUCCUUUAAGUUGGAGAUAGCCCGGAGAAAUCCGGAUUAAUACCUAAUAGUAUUAUGGUGUGGCAUCACAUUAUAAUUAAAGCCUUGGCGCUUAGAGAUGGCUGUGCGUAUGAUUAGGUAGUUGGGCGGGUAACGGCCCACCAAGCCUUCGAUCAUUAACUGGUGUGAGAGCACGACCAGUCACACGGGCACUGAGACACGGGCCCGACUCCUACGGGAGGCAGCAGUAAGGAAUAUUGGUCAAUGGACGCAAGUCUGAACCAG